GAUGAACGCUGGCGGCGUGCCUAAUACAUGCAAGUCGAGCGAAGCGGGGACGGGUGAGUAAAACGUGGAUAACCUCCUAUAAGACUGGGAUAAAUUCGGGAAACCGGAGCCAAACCGGAAGCUGAUCGAUGAUUCCGCUCGGCAUUAGCUAGUUGGUAGGGUAACGGCUUACCAAGGCAACGAUGCAUAGCCGACCUGAGAGGAUGAUCGGCCACACUGGAACUGAGACACGGUCCAGACUCCUACGGGAGGCAGCAGUAGGGAAUCUUCCGCAAUGGGCGAAAGCCUGACGGAGCAACGCCGCGUGUGUGAUGAAGGUCUUCGGAUCGUAAAACUCUGUUAGUAGGGAAGCGGUACCUGAUCAGAAAGCCACGGCUAACUCCGUGCCAGCCGCCGCGGUAAUAC
rnacentral:rRNA from 1 species